GGCCAGUGAUCUAGUGCGGGAGUUUUGGGAAGCAAGAAAAUGUUUUCGACGAAAUCUGAUUUAUCUGAAAAAAUGAUAAUUUAGAAAAUCUAGGAAAAGUCAUCAAUACUAACGGUGGAAAUAAACGUACGAGGAUAUAUAAGGACUUUCAACUUGCGGAUCGAAAGUGAAUAGCUGGUGUUUUUAAACUGUGAGUAUUGUUUUAUCUGUAUUUAUUAUUAUCUUUACACGGUGCCACAGCUAUUUACCUUCUAUAAAUAAUUGCGUUCCUUUUCUAAAAUUAUAUCACAUUCAUUAUACAAAGAUUACUUAUAUCUUAAAUUUUAUAACUUAUAACUACUUAUAACUUAUAUCUUAUUUGUGUUUUCCUGGGAAACCUUACAUAUUCGACUUUCCUACUCCCUGU